AACGGCCAUACCGUGCUGAAUAUACCGGUUCUCGUUAGAUCACCGAAGUCAAGCAUCAUUGGGCGCGGUCAGUACUUGGGUGGGUGACCACCUGGGAACACCGCGUGCCGUU
rnacentral:rRNA from 1 species